UACGGAGGGUGCGAGCGUUGUUCGGAAUCACUGGGCGUAAAGCGCGUGUAGGCGGCCCAUUAAGUCUGAUGUGAAAGCCCGGGGCUCACCCCCGGAAGUGCAUUGGAAACUGAUGGACUCGAGUCCCGGAGAGGAGAGUGGAAUUCCUGGUGAAGCGGUGAAAUGCGUAGAUAUCAGGAGGAACACCGGUGGCGAAGGCGGCUCUCUGGACGGUGACUGACGCUGAGACGCGAAAGCGUGGGGAGCAAACAGG
rnacentral:rRNA from 1 species